AAGACAGCAACAACAGAGAUUACCACGACUUCCACAAAAGGGGACUUGAACUUCACCAGAAGUAACUCAGACAUCAAACAAGGAGAUGGACAUGCUGGGAUGACACCUGCUCCCACCAGUGAAAAG